UCUUUGACUUUUAUAUGAGCAACAUGCUACUCAUUUCGUUGGUUCCACCUUGUGGACCACAUAUCUAAUCAAACUUUAAUUAGCCACAUAUUUAAUUAGCUAAUUGUCCUUUGCUAUCAAUACAAGUAGAAGUGGUCAAUCUGGUACAAGUUCUUCGAUAUUUUACUUGGCUGGCUCGGUGGCUCUUUUGAGUGCUACCAUGUAUCAAUUGCUCUUCCCAUCUUUUUUAACUUUUUCAAGUGGAUAAGUCUGAUGGCGUAUAGGAAAUUGAACUGGACUCUUUGGUGCUUCUCUUGAUGACUCAUAGGGAUUUCCUUGCUCUCUUUGCGGUGCUGUUUAAGCAGCAGAUACGACGCCCACCACCUGUUCGAUGGAAGUCCUGUGUAUGUGUAUACAUGUACCAAUGUGUCGUUGCUUCCCCUUCUUUCUUCAUCAAUUGGUGAUGGAAAUUUGGGCGAGCUUUGGAGCUUUCACUGGUUUGCUGACCUCUCCCUUGUACACGAAAGGUAACAGAACUCAGCUCAUUUUUGUUUUCUUCCUUCACUUGGUAUGCACCAGCAGCAGAGGCGUCGAAGCUUGAAGAUGGUGGCAUUAGGCAGGGCUGUAGCUUCGUCUUUUUGACAUCUGCGUAGUACCAGCUUCCUCUUGUGGCUUCGUCAACAGCAGUAGCAACUUUCAACAGGCUUUAACAAUCAAUUAGGUCAUCUUCUUUUCCCCGUCCUUGUUGUAUCAGCUUGCACUCAUUUGACAGAGCCUCUGUGUGUGCCACUGUGUGGUGCAGGCGCAAGCAAGAGCUUUUGAUGGAGCCUGUUUUCGUUGAAGCUCCGUUGACACUCUGUUUACUGCUGCAAGGCUUAAAAAAUUCCACCGGAUUGGUCAUACACCCGUUGAUACACAUGUAUCGUAAACGAGAUUGCGACCGCUCCGGGGACCUUCAUAGCUCCAUGGUGACACAGCAAGCUUCACCUCUUUCUUGAUGUAUUUCCUGUGUCCGCUUCUGCUCCCUCUAGCGUUUUCUGCUGCCUCCUUUGUUGCCUCUCUGCUGCCUCCUUUGUUGCCUCUCUGCUGCCUCCUUCGUUGCCUCUCUGCUGCCUCUCUUCACUUGUUGUAAAGAGCUCUUUAUAUAGGCAACGUAGAAGAAUAAGAGAUCAUGCAGGUUAACCAUAACUUUUUUUUGAAUUUGAAAUGAUCUUCAGAUGACGAUAACCAUUCCCAUAUUCAAACUUGUAACUGUGGGAACUAUCCACAACUUCCGGUAUGGAAUUUGAAUUUGAAAGCU